rnacentral:snoRNA from 1 species
CCAUAAUGAUGACUUGCCAUGCUAAUACUGAGAGAUCAUCUGGAUCUCGCUGAGUUGAAUUCUCAUACAUACUGAAUUUA